rnacentral:rRNA from 1 species
UACGAAGGGGGCUAGCGUUGUUCGGAAUCACUGGGCGUAAAGGGCGCGUAGGCGGCUUUAUAAGUCGGGGGUGAAAGCCUGUGGCUCAACCACAGAAUUGCCUUCGAUACUGUAGAGCUUGAGACCGGAAGAGGUAAGUGGAACUGCGAGUGUAGAGGUGAAAUUCGUAGAUAUUCGCAAGAACACCAGUGGCGAAGGCGGCUUACUGGUCCGGUUCUGACGCUGAGGCGCGAAAGCUAGGGGAGCAAACAGG